rnacentral:rRNA from 1 species
AACGAACGCUGGCGGCGCGCUUAACACAUGCAAGUCGAACGAGAAGGCGUAGCAAUACGCUUGUACAGUGGCGAACGGGUGAGUAAUACGUGGGCGACCUACCCUCGAGUGGGGAAUAAACCCGCCGAAAGGCGGGCUAAUGCCGCGUACGCUUCCAUCUUUAUGGAGGUGGAAGGAAAGCCGUGCCGUGGGCACGGCGCUCAAGGAUGGGCUCACGUCCUAUCAGCUUGUUGGAGGGUAACGGCCUACCAAGGCUCCGACGGGUAGCUGGUCUGAGAGGACGAUCAGCCACACUGGCACUGCGACACGGGCCAGACUCCUACGGGAGGCAGCAGUGAGGAAUAUUGCGCAAUGGGCGAAAGCCUGACGCAGCGACG